ACGUAGGGUGCAAGCGUUAAUCGGAAUUACUGGGCGUAAAGUGUGCGCAGGUGGCCGAGCAAGUCGAGUGUGAAAUCCCUCGGCUUAACCGGGGAACUGCGUCUGAUACUGGUUGGCUUGAGUUUGGGAGAGGGACGCGGAAUUCCAGGUGUAGCGGUGAAAUGCGUAGAUAUCUGGAGGAACACCGGUGGCGAAGGCGGCAUCCUGGACCAACACUGACGCUGAGGAGCGAAAGCCAGGGGAGCAAACGGGA
rnacentral:rRNA from 1 species